AUGGCCAGUCUGCUGGACGGCGACGAUACCAACGGCAAUAGAAGGAUGUUUCCGAGGGUUAAUGGUACAUCUCCAAAAAUGCCGGCUAAUGAUGUGAGGAAAAUAAAGAAGAGGAUUUCACAGAGGAUGCAAAGGACGGGGAGUAUGCCACAGAGGAUGCAAAGGACGAUGAGUGUGCCACAAAGGAAGCAAAGGGCGAUGAGUUUGCAGCCUAUAAGCGAGCUGUUGUUGGACGUGAUGGUGUGGGAGAUCUUAAUCCGGCUGCCCGUAGAGUCCCUGGUGAGGUUUAAGUUGGUUAGCAAGGCCUGGUACGCUAUCAUCUCCGACCCUGUUUUUGUUCGUGCGCACCUCCAGUGCUCCAAAGAGAAACAACAUCGCAACCCGUCUUCCUUCCUCGUCACCCCCCAGAUUUAUCUGGAACCAAAUCCUUCCGGUCUUUUCUCCACCAACAUCCGUUUCUACCUGUGGUCUUUACAACAAGAUGACAUGAGCAGGAGCAGUAGUAGUGCAACACUCCUUUAUGGGAGGCAGUUCCCCACUGGUGAGUUUGGGCUGGUGUCCCAAAUGGCACACUGUGAUGGAUUGGUGUUGCUCCCCACAAACACCAACACUUAUGUCUUCAACCCAGCAACUAGAGAUGUUGUUGCGCUGCCCAGGUGCCACCGCAAUAUGUUGCAGCAUCCCAGCUGCCUUCCAAUUGGUUUGGGCCUUGAUGUUUCCACUGGAACAUACAAGGUUGCACGGUCUUUCUACCGUUCCGGUGAUUACAGUUCUGUUGCAAUGGGGAUGGAGGUCUUCACUAUUAAUGGUGAAGAGGGCCACUGGAGGGAAACGUUGCUGGAUCCACCAUACCCUAUUGUGUGUCCGCAAACUGCCAUACACUGCAAGGGUUCCCUGUUCUAUUCAUAG
rnacentral:rRNA from 1 species